CCUGUCACUUUGAAGUUAAUCUUCUCCCUUCAUCUUCAACCCCAGCCCUGAGUUCUAUAACACCUCAAGCCAGUAAGGCAUUCACCUUCUCCCUUGCACAGCUGUGAGUAGAUUGAAGAAUGCACUUAGUCAAAGAGAAUUGCUAAAGAAAGUUUUGGAAGCACACUGACUUGAUUUUAGUCAAAGUUUUUUCACUCCAAGCAAAAGAAGUAGAUUCACCAGCAUUUACUAUGUAGAUAUCUGGAGUUCACCG